rfam:Triticum aestivum genome assembly, contig: Triticum_aestivum_CS42_TGACv1_scaffold_558663_7AL
GAGCUACUUCCUCCGUUCGGAAUUACUUGUCUCGAGUAUGAAUGUAUCUAAACUAAAAUACAUCUAGAUACAUUCAUUUCUGUGACAAGUAAUUCCGAACGGAGGGAGUAGUUU